rnacentral:lncRNA from 1 species
GGUGGCAGCGAGGACGCGGGGUGACGCCAAUUUCAUGGUUUUUCUCCCCAAAAUACCAAAUACUCCAUUCCUCGCCAUCCCUUCCCCCAUUUCAUGGUUUUUCUCCCCAAAACCCGAAGCUCCUUUCCUUUGGGAAACCCCAAAACCCAAGGCUCCACCCCACUGGAAAACCCAAUGCUCCAUCCCUUCCCAUCCCUUCCCCAAUUUCCCACUUUUUCUCCCCAAAACCCAGUGCUCCAUCCCUUUGGAAAACCCAGUGCUCCAUCCCUUUCCAUCCCUUCCCCCAUUUCAUAGUUUUUCUCCCCCAAACCCAAAGCUCCAUCCCUUUGGGAAACCCCAAAACCCAAUGCUCUACCCCAUUGGAAAACCCAGUGCUCCAUCCCUUCCCAUCCCUUCCCAUCCCUUCCCCAAUUUCCUACUUUUUGUCCCCAAAACCAAUGCUCCACCCCAUUGGGAAAUCCAAUGCUCCAUCCCUUCCCAUCCCUUCCCCGAUUUCCCACUUUUUCUCCCCAAAACCCAAUGCUCCACCCCAUUGGGAAAUCCAGUGCUCCAUCCCUUCCCAUCCCUUCCCCAAUUUCCUACUUUUUCUCCCCAAAACCCAAUGCUCCACCCCACUGGAAAACCCAGUGCUCCAUCCCUUUGGGAACCCCCAAAACCCAGUGCUCCAUCCCUUCCCAUCCCUUCCCAUCCCUUCCCAUCCUUUCCCCAAUUUCCUACUUUUUCUCCCCAAAACCCAAAGCUCCACCCCACUGGAAAACCCAAUGCUCCAUCCCUUUGGGAAACCCCAAAACCCAGUGCUCCAUCCCUUCCCAUCCCUUCCCCAAUUUCCCACUUUUUCUCCCCAAAACCCAAUGCUCCACCCCAUUGGAAAACCCAAUGCUCCAUCCCUCUCCACCCCUUCCCCCAUUUCAUGGUUUUUCUCCCCAAAACCCAAUGCUCCACCCCAUUGGGAAACCCAGUGCUCCAUCCCUUUGGGAACCCCCAAAACCCAGUGCUCCACCCCUUCCCAUCCUUUCCCCAAUUUCCCACUUUUUCUCCCCAAAACCCAAUGCUCCACCCCAUUGGAAAACCCAAUGCUCCAUCCCUUUCCAUCCCUUCCCCCAUUUCAUGGUUUUUCUCCCCAAAACCCAAUGCUCCAUCCCUUUGGGAAACCCCAAAACCCAACGCUCUACCCCACUGGAAAACCCAGUGCUCCAUCCCUUCCCAUCCCUUCCCAUCCCUUCCCCAAUUUCCUACUUUUUCUCCCCAAAACCCAGUGCUCCACCCCAUUGGGAAACCCAGUGCUCCAUCCCUUCCCAUCCCUUCCCCAAUUUCUCACUUUUUCUCCCCAAAACCCAAUGCUCCACCCCACUGGGAAACCCAAUGCUCCAUCCCUUCCCAUCCCUUGCCUAAUUUCCCACUUUUUCUCCCCAAAACCCAAUGCUCCACCCCACUGGGAAANUGGCUUGGCCCCAUGGCUUGGCCCCAUGGCUCGGCCCCGUGGCUUGGCCCCAUGGCUCAGCCCUAUAGCUCGGCCCUAUGAUUUGGCCCCAUGGCUCAGCCCCAGGGCUUGACCCCAUGGCUUGGCCCCAUGGUUUGGCCCCAGGGCUUGACCCCAUGGCUCAGCCCCAUGGCUUGGCCCUAUGCCUUGGCCCUAUGCCUUGGCCCUAUGGCUUGGCCCCAUGGCUCGGCACUUUGGCUCGGCCCCAUACCUUGGCCCUAUGGCUUGGCCCUAUGGCUCGGCCCUAUGCCUUGGCCCUAUGGCUUGGCCCCAUGGCUCGGCCCUUUGGCUCGGCCCCAUGGCUUGGCCCCAUGGCUCGGCCCCAUGGCUCGGCCCUAUGCCUUGGCCCUAUGCCUCGGCCCCAUGGCUCGGCCCUAUGAUUUGGCCCCAUGGCUCNNNNNNNNNNNNNNNNNNNNNNNNNNNNNNNNNNNNNNNNNNNNNNNNNNNNNNNNNNNNNNNNNNNNNNNNNNNNNNNNNNNNNNNNNNNNNNN